AAAGAUGAUAUGAGCAAUGGUGCCCUCUAUUGGUUUGUUGAAAAAUGUCGUCUGCUCAUUAAUUCACACGUGCUGAUGUGUUUGUUUUCGUUUGGUCUAGGCCCUACUCGCAGUUUGUUAGAUAGAGAUUGCGCAAUAUGGAUUUAAAUAAGAGUAAGAAAUUGACGGGGAAAGAAUGGACAGAAUUGAAAAGAAAAA